CGCGCUGACCUUUAUUCCCCGGGGGAGGAGGUUGUUGGCGGCUGCCGGAGGAGUGCGGCAGCGCGGCGGCGCUUCUCGCUUUAACUCCUUCAGCGCGAUGGCAGCCAGCUUCGCCCCAGCCGAGCCGGACAGCAGCGAUGCCAGUGCGCCGACCGGCAGGUGCUUGCCAUGCCAAGGCAUUCACAGCAGAACAAAGAAGUAAAAUGGAAUCAAUGAAGAACUGCGCACAAAAGACUGACAAGCAACCAAUGUGCAAAUGAAGUCAAUCAUUGUAAAUGCAAAAAAAUUAUAAUUCAAUGAAAAUACCAAUUUCAGACAAAUAAAUGUGAAAAAUAUCAGAAAUAUGCUGAAUUAAAAGAGGAAAUUGAAAGACUAUAGAACAUGAACAGGGUAUACAUUAUCUCAAUAGUAAUAUCUACAACUGGUAUCAUCCCAACACCACUACAUAACUGCAUUAAACAAUUAGGCCCACUGAGCAAUAUUUAUGUUAUCCUUUGCUCAUUGCUCUAUCUAACUGUGCUAAAUAUUUAUGUAAAUAUUUAUCAGAAAGUCACAAUACUAAACCACAAUCUGUAAGUUCAUAGUAAUUGAGAAAUGAGUGCGCUUGGCUAUGCCUGUACCUUAGGUUUUACCAGAUUGAACUGAGAAAAAAUAAAAAUAAUAAAUAAACAAGUAAAUAAACCAUACUGAGAAUAUGAAUUAUCGAAGUUUUGAAAGUGAGUGCAUUGUAUUCAAUGUUGAGGUGAGUGAAGUUAUCCAUUCUGAUACAGGAACUACUUGUGAUUAAGUAGUACUUGGUGAUAGGGAAUGUCGGCAAUACUCGUGGCAUUAUAUCUAAUAGGAAGCUUCAAUAGGUACAUUUAAUGUCAGAGAAAUGUAUACAAUAUAGAUCCUGAAAUUCUUUUAGUAGCUUUAUGAAUACCACUGUAAAAUAUGUUACCGAACCAACAAAAAAAGCAUGGAAUAUGUGAUGGAUGCUGGAUACAGUGGGGGGGGGGGUUGGUUAACUAAGGAACUGGAUGAUGCUAGAGAAGAUCAGGAGAAGAUGAAAUAAAUUUUUUGAAAAUCAUGUUUCCACUGACAGGGUCAAUAAUUAAAGGACACAGGUUUUAAGAUAUUGCCUCAAGAACCAGAGGGGAGUUGACAAUAUUUUUUUCACAGAGCAAGUCAUUAUGAUCUGGAAUUCAUUGGUGGUGGAAGCAGAUUCAAUAAUAACUUUCAAUGGGGAAUUAAAUAAAUAGAUAACAGGAGAAUAAUUGCAGAGGUAUGUUGAAAGAGUACCUUGAGAUUACUUGAAAAAGCACCAUGAGCACAAGAGUCCAAAUGGUCUCCUUCAUUGUUGAAGGAUUCUAUGCACUAAAAAUCAAGAAACAAAGAAAAAAAAUAAACAUCAGUUGUUUAAUGCAGCUGAAUCUGCUAUACAAGCAUUUUCCAAUUUACAACAAUCUUUUAGGCAACUUAAAGACUGUCAGCUUGUUGUAAUUUAGAUGCAGGAUUGCUCUUGGCUCAAAAUUCUGAAACCACAACAAAAGGAGAGAUCGAGAGACCAAAGAAAGCACUUUGCAGUCUGAUCAAACAGCCAGAGACACAGGCAAGAUAAUGCAGAUAUAACAGUCUCCAAGCCCCAGUCAAGGUUCUGACUAACAACUCUCAGGAAUGUGAUUGCACAAUGAGAAUCAUAUGAAGUCCCACCAAACCCAAAAGUCUGAACAUCAGAAGAGAGCCCAGACUGUAUCUGAAGAUUCAGGCUCUGCUUUCAGCCAAUUGGAUCACUGGAUGGGAAAAUAAAUAUUUCACGUGCAGCUUGCUAGUUUCUCUAGUGCCUUAGUUGGCAGAAAGGAAUGCCUCAUAUGGUACUUAGCAAAGGAUUUGUGGGCUGCUCAUUGAGUCUAAAAUCAAUAGGCAAUCCCUUGCCUUCUCAGGGAUUUGCUAUAGAGCCAUACAGCACAGAAACAGGCAUUUCAGUCCUUUUAACCUUUUAACUCACCUUUUAACUUAUCUAAAUUGGAAGACCCCUCAAACUCAGUCUCUAAUUGAUUUAAUUGUACCAGAGACAGGUAAAGAAAAAUAUAUCAGUCUGAACAUUCCUGAUGCUUCUUUUACAAAUUGCUGAUGUUUGGACACCCAGUGAUAGUACCUAUUAUUUGUGUUUUUUUUUGUGAGAAUGUGAGUUUGGAAGAUGUUUAUUGCUCUAUCAUAGUUGCCCUGAGAAGCUGGUGGUGGAACAAAAGGUUAAUAUAACUGAUGGUUCUGCUGGAUAACCUCUGAGAACAGUUAUUAGACACUCAUAGUGGGUUGGGAUUCCAAUCAUGUUUUGGUUUGUUUCAGGGUAGAGAGCCAAUUUACUACCUUGAAGCAAAUUGAUGAAUCUGUUGCGUUUUAACAGUAAUCUGACAGCUUCAAUGUUCUGAUUUGUUAAUUUUGAUUCUGGUUUAAACUGAAUUCAAAUUCUCAAAUGACCAUUGAGAAAUUUACUUUCAAAUGAAUUUGUGUUCAGGAACCUGAAGAGUGACACAAGUUGGCUGACACCAAGGAGAGAAUUCCGCCUGUCUUUUUGGCUCAUUUGGUAGUAAUUUUUAACUGUGUCAAAGGGCAGGGUGUGAGCUCAUUAUUCAGACCAACACUUUGAUUGCAGUGGUUGAGUAUACUGCUCUUCAGAUGUUUCAUUAAAGCAAGAGAUUUCCUGCCAGUGAGCAUUAGUUACACUGGACAACAAUUUUUUUCAGAAGUGUUGCUUCCUCAGAUUUUUUUAAUUUAUGAUAGACUGCUUGAAGCUGUGUACAAAUAUAAUUUCAGACUAUUAUUAUCAUGUAGGAAUUUGGAGAAACAAGAAGAGAACUUUUAUUGAAUGUAAUGUGUUUAAUUGCAUAACAAUAUUGAUGGUUUGCAAUGGUUCAACUAAGCUAAAAAGGUUCUGUUUUCAUUUGUGCUCAGUAUCUGAGACUUCUUGCUUAAGGGUCCAACAAUAAUUAGCUAGCAUUGAUGGAUUCCAGUUGCCCUGAUAUGGUUUCUCCACAACUGCAGUGUCCUGGUGAAACAUUUCACCAUGCUUGUUACCGACUGUGCCAAGAUUUGCAGGGAAGAAGUCUGAAAUGAGAAUGCAGUAAAUGAAUCUUUAGUGACUUGUUGCAUUCAUAGUUUUGUAUGUGUGAAGCAUGUUGUCAACCAGAUGCAUGUAGUUUGGAGCUCCAUAGUUGCCAGAAAAAUUUUCACAUCCUUGAAUACCUUCCAUGUGAUUCUGUCCAGUCCCACUAGAAGUUUUUUGAAUUACCUGUCGUUGAUGAUGUGUUUGAUUUUGUGGACCAACAAAUAAACUUUUCUUAAUCUUGC